UUUUGCCUGUCUCCUGUAGAAGUCAAUUCUCCUGUAGAAUUCAAUUGACAUAAGUCAAGCAAUUAAUGCUCCCUGGAGUAAAAUGGACUGGGCUCUGAAUUUCCUUGACACAAACUCAUACGACCUAAGUUUUGGAGGAACUUGUGCAGAAUUGC